CAUAAAGAAUUUUCCUUCCUAUCAAGUUUCUAUUCAAAGUCUCCAAUAUUCCUAAACACUUUUCCUAAACAUAAAAAGCCUUAUUUCCAACAGAAGGGGCAUCACAUCAGAUCAACCAUCGCAUGGCUUAUUCCUUUAUCCAUUUCACUCAAAAUCACCAGUUUGUGGUCAAAGUUCUAGUAUGCCAACUUCAUGAUGAUGUCUAUAUCCUUCUUUUGGAAAAUCCGGAAAGUAAACAAUUUCUUCUCCACGUCUUGAGCCUCUACAUCCCCUUUUGCUUUCCAAGCCCAGAUCAUGGUUGACUUGAAAGCCUUUGGAUUCACAGACCCUUGUGUAAGGACCUUCGCCACCAACCAAAAAUCCUGUUAAGCACUCCCUUCCUCAUAAUCGAGAUUAGGUAGUUCAAGUAUCUUGAUUACCUCCUUCACCUGUUACGUUUGGGCUUUUUCCAUGAUCCAUGAGAAAUGUGGGAAAAGCAAAAACUACACCACCACCUCCUUGUCACCCCUUAAUGAUCCCAGCUAAGGGAAAAAAAUAUGUUAUGGAAAAUCCUAGGUAACAUUGCAUGUACGUGAGAAAGCCCAAAGAAACCUUGGGAUUUGAGAAACCCUAACAGCACACCCUAGGCAAAACCCUAGGGGAGCAUGCUGGGAGCUGAGUAGUUGGA
rnacentral:lncRNA from 1 species